rnacentral:rRNA from 1 species
GAUCAUGGCUCAGGAUGAACGCUAGCUACAGGCUUAACACAUGCAAGUCGAGGGGCAGCAUGACCUAGCAAUAGGUUGAUGGCGACCGGCGCACGGGUGAGUAACACGUACCCAACCUACCGGUUAUUCCGGGAUAGCCUUUCGAAAGAAAGAUUAAUACCGGAUAGUAUAACGAGAAGGCAUCUUCUUGUUAUUAAAGAAUUUCGAUAACCGAUGGGGAUGCGUUCCAUUAGUUUGUUGGCGGGUAACGGCCC